CCGCCUCCCCCCCCUCCCAGCAUUGCUGGGAAGCUUUGGGGAUUAAAGCAUCCCUCCAGACAGGGUCGUGAAGGGCAGAGCGGGCACAGAGGGCUCCGGGAAGGGCUGGCAUCGACCGAUCUGCCCGAGGGCGGAGGAAGCGCUGGGGAUCGGGGUUGUACCCGUGGGGCUGUGCACGGGGCAGCUUCCCAGGCCCCUCUGUGGUUCCUGACGUCACGGAGAGGCCAAAUCUUCCCUUUUGCACAGAAAAAAAGGCUCAUCUGCAGUCACAGCGGGCUGCACUUGACAGCUCAUAACUUAAUGGCUUUUAAAAAAUAGCCACAGCCUGUUUUAAACGCUGGUCGACGUCUCCUCUACCUUUCCCCCCGGAAAGCCUUCUGAGCUCUCACUUUUCCGAUAUUAGACACUUUCUCUACUCUUCGGCCUUCAUUUAUUAAUGGCUAAUUAUAUCUAUUUGCUUUUGUGCCAACAUUGUCCUUUAGCUUGAAUAGCUUUUUUCCCUCCCUAAUGCUUGCUUCCCGGUGCUAUUUAUAGGCAGCAAUUGUAUCCCCCCGCAGCCUCUGUUUCGCUUGGCUACACAAGCUGCGUGCCUUCAGCCUCCUCAAAACGGCCCCGUCGCCCUCCUGCCUCCCUCCGCGUCCCCUCCUCGAGCCGAGGGGGUUCAGGCGGGUGCCCAGCUGGUGCCGGCGUCUGGCAGAAACCAGUUGGGUGGCAGCACUGGCCGCGAUGCUUUGGGGCAGAAAGCCGGGGGGCAGAGCCACGUGCCACCGGAGAGCCCCAUGGGGUUAUUAUGUUUUUUAGGCAGCCCCAUUGGGUUCUUUUUUAGGCAAAGGCAGGGAUGGCUCCAGGCUCCCGUUUGCCUUCCCUGUCCCUCCCAGCCCAUUUCUUUGGAGGGAGAGCGAGCGCCCGGCAACACCCGGCAGCGUGGCCCACCAAGGCAGCGCACGGAGUUGCGCGAUUUCUAUCGGCGCUUUCAUCCCGGGAUGAAACGGAUGAUAGAAAACAUUUGGU